CGGCCGCGGCUGCCCCUCCCCCCGCCGCUCGCCGCGCACGCGGGGCACCGGUCGCGGCUCCUCGGCUGCCGCGGUGUGUGUGGUAGCCAUGGACUCCCCGUGGGACGAGCUGACGCUGGCUUUCUCCCGCACGUCCAUGUUCCCUUUUUUUGACAUCGCCCACUAUCUAGUGUCCUUGAUGGCUCUGAAGCGUCAGCCGGGAGCAGCGGCAGUGGCAUGGAAGAAUCCAGUUUCAAGCUGGUUUACUGCUAUGCUCCACUGCUUUGGUGGGGGAAUUCUAUCCUGUAUACUGCUUGCAGAGCCUCCGUUGAGGUUUCUUGCAAACCACACUAAUAUUUUGCUGGCAUCUUCAAUCUGGUAUAUUAUAUUUUUUUGCCCAUACGACCUAGUUUCUCAGGGCUACUCAUUCCUACCUGUUCAACUCCUGGCUGCGGGAAUGAAGGAAGUGACCAGAACUUGGAAAAUAGUAGGUGGAAUCACACAUGCUAAUAGCUAUUACAAAAAUGGCUGGCUAGUCAUGAUAGUUAUUGGAUGGGCCAGAGGUGCAGGUGGUACCAUUGUCACAAAUUUUGAGCAGUUAAUAAAAGGAUAUUGGAAGCCAGAAAGUGAGGAAGAAUGGCUGAAGAUGACCUACGCUUCUAAGGUAACACUCCUGGGGUCAGUCAUCUUCACAUUCCAGCACACCAAGCAUCUGGCAAUAUCAAAGCAUAAUCUUAUGUUCCUUUAUACCAUUUUUCUUGUGACCACAAAGAUAACCAUGAUGAUUACAGAGACUUCUACUGUGACUCUGGCUCCCUUUGAGGAUACAUUGAGUCGGAUGCUGUUUGGCUGGCAGCAGCAAUUUUCAUCAUUUGAAAAGAAAAGUGAAACAAAACCGUCUUCCAAUGGCACUGGGUCAUCAGCCUCAAAACCUGUAGCUGAUGCUUCAGAUAACGUUAAAAAGAAACAUACUAAGAAGACUGAGUAAAUUUACCUUAUAUGAACUCUAGAAAGCAAAAUUUUUUUUUCUUAUCUACCUACCAGAUUGUGAUAAUAUUUCUGCGUGAAUGAUGUGAAAUAAAGAUUACAUGUAAGGAAUGGAGUGAAAACUACCUUCAUGUGAAAAUACUUGGCUGUAAUGAGAAUUGUUUUUGGAUAUUUGAUAAUAACCAGCUAACUGAGAAAGAGCAGAGAAAGCAAAACUUCCUACUAUGUUAGACCAUUUGAAUGAAGAACAGUGGCAUUAAAUCAGGUUACUUAUUGGCGGAAUAAAAAGGAAACAAGAAAAGGUAUUAAUUUGAUGUUAGAUUUUUUUUGCUUUUUAAGUCCAGAUAAAACAUUAGACCUCUAUGACAUUUCUUCUAACAGAACUAUGAACCUGCUACCUGUAUCAGGUAUGUGGAUGGCUUUUAGACACCCAAAUCACAUUCAAGUUAGAAAUUUUUUUUCUUUUAAAAAAUUUUUAAAUAAAUACAAACAGUAGCGGGUAAUAUACUUAUUAAGGAAAAGAAAAAGACAGUAGGGUUAGCAGGAGGCUUUUAAUAGUCUGGGGAUGCUAAGAAGUUUUAAUAUUGUGACAUAAACCAGUAAAUAUAUAAGUGAUUGUAUUAUAUUUAAUACACUCAUAGGUAAAAACUUCAAAAUGAGCAUGUUAAUUAUUGAAUAGUUUCAAAGUUUGGGUUUAAUUGUUGAAAUGAUAGGGAUUUUUUUAUGCCUGUAUGAUAAGAUAUUUAUUAAAAUAACUUAUUUAGCACAAAUGAAAAUGUUAUUUUUUUUUUUUGAGAUUUAUUUAUUUGAAAGAGUUACACACAGAGAGAAGGAGAGGCAGGGAGAGAGAGAGGUCUUCCAUCCACUGGUUCAUUCCCCAGUUGGCCGCAAUGGCCGGAGCUCUGAAAUCAGGAGCCAGGAGCCUCAUCCAGGUCUUCCCACAUGGAUGCAGGGGCCCAAGGACUUGGGCCAUCUUCAACUGCUUUCCAAGGCCAUAGCAGAGAGCUGGCUAGGAAGUGGAGCAGCCGGGACAUGAACCGGUGCCCAUAUGGGAUGCUGGUGCUGCAGGUGGUGGCCUUACCCACUAUGCCACAGCACCGGCCCUGAAAUGUUAUUUUUAUGUUUUUUUCUUUUUUCUUGAAAUUGGACUUCAGAACUCCUUUGGUGUUUUGACUAUUGUAGUAUAUAUUCCAUGAUGACUGUCCAAAUGGGACACUAGUAUAAACUUUGUUUAUCUACCCAAGUAUUAUAGAACUCUUAGUACAAGGCUCUUAGAUGGAAGCUGUACUUGAGGACAUGACUUAGGCCUGAAAUCCUCUAACUGGUAUGUCAGACUGCCUGAAGACUUAGCUAAGGUUUGUGAAUGUUAGCCUGCAAGAGGCCUUAAGGCAUGCUUCACAUGACCAGUCAGAUGUGGCACUGAGAAAGUCAAAACUUUGUAGAGUUUCUUAAAAAAAAAAAAAAAAAUAGGAGACAAGGAGCUAGCAAGAACAUGGGCCAACAUCUCAGCUGAUCUCACCCUGUAGUAAAAUGUGUCCAGAUGAAUAUAUUAUUUAUCAGAUUUUCACUCAUCCUUGCUGAAAGAGCACUUGAGUAAGGGCUGGAAAGAGACCAUAUGUGUGGAUUUCAAAUUUUUUUUGGCAUUAAAAAACUUAAUUCUAUUUUUCAUGAACUUACUGAAGUAUCAUGUGGGGUAGGUGGUCUUCAGCAGAAAUGCCAGCCUCUCUAUGGGCAGAGACCAAAAUGUAGAGAGAUGGGAGAAAGGAAACCCUCAUUGGUGUAUUUUUUGUCUAUUCCUUCAAGCACAGAUACCAAUUCAUUAAAAUCUAUUUCAAAUCACAAAUUAAUUGCCUGAGUUGGAAUGUUGGAGAUGGAAUCAUGUGAUCUAGAAUGCUCUCUCUCCCCCUAUGCAAAGCCUUUUAUAGUGUUUGCCCCCAGGUAUGAUUCCAUCUUUGGUGAUACACAUUCAUUACAAAUAUUGAUUAGGGUCAGGUGUUGUUCUAGGAUCAAGAGAAAACAAGAAAAAGGCCAGCUCUCUUGGAGUUUAUAUUAAGUGGUUGAAAGUAGACAAAUGUGUUCCUGUGAUAAUAAAGAUAUGAAUAAAUAUUAAGCAAGUUAUGAGGAUAGAAAGUGAGGAGGGUGGGGGUGUUUGCCAAAAUAGAAUUGUUAGGACUUUUUGUAAAAAUUGCAUUUUAGCAGAGACCUGAAGAACUCAAAUGAACAGGCCAUGUAAACAUCUGGGUAAGUAUAAAGAUCAUAUUGUUCCUUCAUAUACUUGAUUUAUUUAUAUUUUUCCUCCAAAAUUAAUAAAUUGUUUUUCUAAGUACAAU